AUUGAACGCUGGCGGCAGGCCUAACACAUGCACGUCGAACGAGUGGCGGACGGGUGAGUACUGUCUGGGAAACUGCCCGAUGGAGGGGGAUAACUACUGGAAACGGUAGCUAAUACCGCAUACCCUCGGUUUUGCCCAUAUGGGAUUAGCUAGUAGGUGGGGUAACGGCUCACCUAGGCGACUAUCCCUAGCUGGUCUGAGAGGAUGACCAGCCACACUGGAACUGAGACACGGUCCAGACGCCUACGGGAGGCAGCAGUGGGGAAUAGUGCACAAUGGGCGCAAGCCUGAUGCAGCCAUGCCGCGUGUAUGAAGAAGGCCUUCGGGUUGUAAAGUACUUUCAGCGAGGAGGCGUUACUCGCAGAAGAAGCACCGGCUAACUCCGUGCCAGCAGCCGCGGUAAUUC
rnacentral:rRNA from 1 species